CAGCCGCCGCGGGAAUACGAAGGGGGCUAGCGUUGCUCGGAAUGACUGGGCGUAAAGGGCGCGUAGGCGGCGGCCAAAGUCAGACGUGAAAUUCCUGGGCUCAACCUGGGGGCUGCGUUUGAUACUUGGUUGCUUGAGUGGGGAAGAGGGUCGUGGAAUUCCCAGUGUAGCGGUGAAAUGCGUAGAUAUCGGAAGGAACACCUGUGGCGAAAGCGGCUCACUGGACCAUUUCUGACGCUGAUGCACGAAAGCUAGGGGAGCAAACAGGAUUAGAUACCCGCGUAGUCCCUGUCUCUUAUAC
rnacentral:rRNA from 1 species